rnacentral:rRNA from 1 species
CACGUAGGCGGCAUGGUAAGUCAAAGGUGAAAGCCCUCGGCUCAACCGAGGAAUUGCCUUUGAAACUGCUUUGCUUGAGUCCGGGAGGGGGGAGCGGAAUUCCCAGAGUAGCGGUGAAAUGCGUAGAUACUGGGAGGAACACCGGUGGCGAAGGCGGCUCCCUGGACCGGUACUGACGCUGAGGUGCGAAAGCGUGGGUAGCAAACA